UGUUUAGCAACAUAAAAUUAGAAAUAUAAAUUAACUGCAGGUUAAAACUGUAAACGAUGAAUCUGGAAGUUGCACACUAUGGAACUACAAACUGCAUGAAUUAAAUAGUAAUGCGAAAAUAAUCUGCAGAUAUAAAUGAAAACUGAUGCGAAAAUAAUCUGCAGAAAUAAAUGGAAACUGAAUCUGCAAUGAAACUAUACGAACUGCAACGACAUAAAUCUGCAGAAAGAAAACACAAACUGCAGCAGGUUUCAAAUCGAGGCCUGUGCGUGCACAGUCUCCUUAAGACAGUUUCGCCCCCUUACCGUAGGUGCUGGAGGUUCAGUUCGAGCGGCUGUCUCCCAGGAUACAACGGUAAUAAGCAGAAUCCGAGCACCGCGGUCCUACUCCGACGAACUGCACGUGACUGGAAGGGAACAGAAACUACACUGUAUGGAAACUAGAACUGGGAAAAAUGACACUUCGUGGAAAACUGGAAGAAUAUUUUCGUAUGCAGAGAGAAAAUUUCUUUCGUGUAUUGAAUUGUUGGAGUGAGCGUCCCUUAUAUAGAUUGAGUCCUGUCCAUUGGAGUCACUGGAGUUACGACAUUAACCACUGGAGUUUUAGCUUUUCAGUUCUGGCAAUAAGCAUUGGGAGUUUCUGUAGUUUAGAAACUCAAAAGUCAUUGGAGAAAGCCAAAAAAAAUUGGUAAAAUGUAAGCUCUCCGAUGGGGCCAUUUUUGUCUUGUUCGGUUCGACAUUCGUGUGCACGGGUCGCACCCGAACCCAAGUUCAAGGUCCGAAGGCCAUUUCGAUUCGUGAUUUGCACCCCCCUGCGCGCGCACGUGGAGAGAGCAUCUAUGCUACACACGAUUACACAUCUCCAAAGCAUGGGCAUAUAUAAAGUGAUUUAAGUUUCCUUGGUUUUCCUAUGUGAGAUAAAUGUAUUUUUUCCCACAAAACCAACUUCCAAUGAUCAACUUUGAGCUCCAAUUUCUCAU
rnacentral:lncRNA from 1 species